GACGGAGGAUGCAAGUGUUAUCCGGAAUCACUGGGCGUAAAGCGUCUGUAGGUGGCUUUUUAAGUCCGCCGUCAAAUCCCAGGGCUCAACCCUGGACAGGCGGUGGAAACUACCAAGCUGGAGUACGGUAGGGCAGAGGGAAUUCCGGUGGAGCGGUGAAAUGCGUAGAGAUCGGAAAGAACACCAACGGCGAAAGCACUCUGCUGGGCCGACACUGACACUGAGAGACGAAAGCUAGGGGAGCGAAUGGG
rnacentral:rRNA from 1 species